UAGGGAAUCUUCCGCAAUGGGCAAAAGCUUGACGGAGCAACGCCGCGUGAGUGAUGAAGGUCUUCGGAUCGUAAAACUCUGUUAUUAGGGAAGAACAAAUGUGUAAGUAACUAUGCACGUCUUGACGGUACCUAAUCAGAAAGCCACGGCUAACUACGUGCCAGCAGCCGCGGUAAUACGUAGGUGGCAAGCGUUAUCCGGAAUUAUUGGGCGUAAAGCGCGCGUAGGCGGUUUUUUAAGUCUGAUGUGAAAGCCCACGGCUCAACCGUGGAGGGUCAUUGGAAACUGGAAAACUUGAGUGCAGAAGAGGAAAGUGGAAUUCCAUGUGUAGCGGUGAAAUGCGCAGAGAUAUGGAGGAACACCAGUGGCGAAGGCGACUUUCUGGUCUGUAACUGACGCUGAUGUGCGAAAGCGUGGGGAUCAAACAGG
rnacentral:rRNA from 1 species